AUUGAGCGCUGGCGGAAUGCUUUACACAUGCAAGUCGAGCGGCAGCGCGGGGGCAACCCUGGCGGCGAGCGGCGAACGGGUGAGUAAUGCAUCGGAACGUACCCAUUUGUGGGGGAUAACUGUCCGAAAGGACAGCUAAUACCGCAUAAGUCCUGAGGGAGAAAGCGGGGGAUCGCAAGACCUCGCGCGAAUGGAGCGGCCGAUGCCGGAUUAGCUAGUUGGUAGGGUAAAGGCCUACCAAGGCGACGAUCCGUAGCUGGUCUGAGAGGAUGAUCAGCCACACUGGAACUGAGACACGGUCCAGACUCCUACGGGAGGCAGCAGUGGGGAAUUUUGGACAAUGGGGGCAACCCUGAUCCAGCCAUUCCGCGUGAGUGAAGAAGGCCUUCGGGUUGUAAAGCUCUUUCGGCAGGAACGAAACGGUCCUGGAUAAUACCUAGGGCUAAUGACGGUACCUGAAGAAGAAGCACCGGCUAACUACGUGCCAGCCGCCGCCGUAA
rnacentral:rRNA from 1 species